AUUGAACGCUGGCGGCAUGCUUUACACAUGCAAGUCGAACGGUAACAGGUUAAGCUGACGAGUGGCGAACGGGUGAGUAAUGCAUCGGAACGUGCCCGAUCGUGGGGGAUAACGCAGCGAAAGCUGCGCUAAUACCGCAUACGAUCUGAGGAUGAAAGCGGGGGACCGUAAGGCCUCGCGCGAUCGGAGCGGCCGAUGUCAGAUUAGGUAGUUGGUGGGGUAAAGGCCCACCAAGCCGACGAUCUGUAGCUGGUCUGAGAGGACGACCAGCCACACUGGGACUGAGACACGGCCCAGACUCCUACGGGAGGCAGCAGUGGGGAAUUUUGGACAAUGGGCGAAAGCCUGAUCCAGCAAUGCCGCGUGCAGGAAGAAGACCUUCGGGUUGUAAACUGCUUUUGUACGGAGCGAAAAGGUCCUUUCUAAUACAAGGGGCUCAUGACGGUACCGUAAGAAUAAGCACCGGCUAACUACGUGCCAGCCGCCGCAGUAAGAC
rnacentral:rRNA from 1 species